CUUUAAAAAUCUGGAUCAAGCUGAAAAUUGAAAACGACACACAGUUAAUGUGUGUUCGAGUCUCUCAAAUUUUCGCAAUCAGAAGUGAAACAUCUUCGG
rnacentral:sRNA from 1 species